GAUGAAGAACGCAGCGAAAUGCGAUACGUAAUGUGAAUUGCAAAUUCAGUGAAUCAUCGAGUCUUUGAACGCACAUUGCGCCCCCUGGUAUUCCGGGGGGCAUGCCUGUCCGAGCGUCAUUGCUGCCCUCAAGCACGGCUUGUGUGUUGGGCCCCGUCCUCCGAUCCCGGGGGACGGGCCCGAAAGGCAGCGGCGGCACCGCGUCCGGUCCUCGAGCGUAUGGGGCUUUGUCACCCGCUCUGUAGGCCCGGCCGGCGCUUGCCGAUCAACCCAAAUUUUUUAUCCAGGUUGACCUCGGAUCAAGUAGGGAUACCCGCUGAACUUAAGCAUAUCAAUAAGCGGAGGA
rnacentral:misc_RNA from 1 species